rnacentral:misc_RNA from 1 species
GAUGAAGAACGUAGCGAAAUGCGAAAAGUAAUGUGAAUUGCAGAAUUCAGUGAAUCAUCGAAUCUUUGAACGCAAGUUGCGCCCGAAGCCAUUAGGCCGAGGGCACGCCUGCCUGGGCGUCACACGUCGUUGCCCCCCCAUCUACUCCUUCGGGAUUGCGGGGGGCGGAUGAUGGCCUCCCGUGCGCCUCGCCGCGCGGUUGGCAUAAAUGCCAAGUCCUCGGCGACGCACGCCACGACAAUCGGUGGUUGCGAAACCUCGGUUGCCCGUCGUGUGCGGUCGUCGCGCAUCGAGGGCUCGAAAAAAUUGCCGGGUUCCGGCUCGGCUUUCAACGCGACCCCAGGUCAGGCGGGGUUACCCGCUGAAUUUAAGCAUAUCAAUAAGCGGAGGA